rnacentral:rRNA from 1 species
GAUGAACGCUGGCGGCGUGCUUAACACAUGCAAGUCGAACGGAAACGCGCUGCUAUCGCGGGGUGCUCGAGUGGCGAACGGGUGUGAUACACGUGAGUAUCCUGCCCCUGACUUUGGGACAACUUCAGGAAACUGGGGAUACUACAGGAUAGGAGCUCCUGCAGCAGGGGGGGGGUUGGAAAGUUUCGGCGGUGGGGGAUGGACGCGCGGCUUAUCAGCUGGUUGGUGGGGUAGCGGCUAACGAAGUCUUCGACGGGUAGCCGGCCUGGGAGGGUGACCGCCCACAAUGGGACUGAGGUACGGCGCAGACUGCAACGGUAGGCAGCAGUGGGGAAUAUUGCACAAUGAGCGGAAGCCUGAUGCAGAGGCGCCGCGUGCGUGAUGACGGCCUUCGGGGUGUGAACCGCUGUCGCCUGUGACAGAGCGUUAGUGACGGUAAUUGGUAAAGAAGCACCGGCUAACUACGUG